rnacentral:misc_RNA from 1 species
GAAAUGCGAUAAGUAAUGUGAAUUGCAGAAUUCAGUGAAUCAUCGAAUCUUUGAACGCACAUUGCGCCCGCCAGCACUCUGGCGGGCAUGCCUGUUCGAGCGUCAUUUCAACCCUCAGAACCCCUUGCGGGAUCUGGCGUUGGGGAUUGGGAUCCAGCCAGCCCCGAAAUCUAGUGGCGGUCCCUCCGCGACCUCCCCUGUGCAGUAGCGAUACCUCGCAGCGGGACAGCGGUCUGACCACGCCGUAAAACCCCCAACUUCUCAAGGUUGACCUCGAAUCAGGUAGGAAUACCCGCUGAACUUAAGC